CUAAGCACGAAACUUGCCCCGAGAUGAGUUCUCCCUGACUCCUUGAGAGUCCUGAAGGAACGUUGAAGACGACGACGUUGAUAGGCCGGGUGUGUAAGCGCAGCGAUGCGUUGAGCUAACCGGUACUAAUGAACCGUGAGGCUUAACCUUACAACGCCGAAG
rnacentral:rRNA from 1 species